rnacentral:lncRNA from 1 species
AGUGGCUUUUAUCAGCACAUAAACAGUUGACCCAGGAUAUGUCCACCCAAAGGGCUGUUCAGACAGAGAAGGAGCAGCAGAUCGAGACUGUUUGUGAGACCAUCCAGAGCCUGGUUGACAGCGUAAAGACUGUGCUCACGGGUCACAACCGGCAGCUUGGAGAUGUAAAACAUCUCCUGAAAGCCAUGGCUAAGGUAAUGAAUCCCACUGGCAUAGUUUCCUGUCUCAAGGUAAUAGCUUUGUGGACAGAUGUGACACUUUAAACAAAAAUAGCUUCUCUGUUUACAUUUUGCAACUUGCUUGUAACUGCAUCAAAAUGUAUUAUUUUCAUCAACUAUGUUUUAAAGCAGGCAUUCUUGAUUUUUGUACUGAUGAAAUCCGAGGCUUAAAUUGGUUGAGUAUCAUGGAGCAGGUAUUUU